CCGAGGCAGGAGUUUGGAGUUUCUGCUGUUCCGGACGGCUUGGGGGGCUCUCUGAAUCGUUAGAGGGCCCCCAGCAGCCCCCAGGUGCUGUUGUUAACUUGCCUGACAGCUUCUGCUUCCUGCUUCUUGGAAGCCAGCCACUAAGUAAAAACUACAGUUCUCUGAGAUCUGUAUGUCGUAAGAAGCCCAAGAGCGUGAGAAGAGGCCCUGGAAGCUGAGACAGCGAGUAGAGAGGUCGAGGAGCACCACGGAACCAGAAGAAGUGAAGUGUAAGUGAAGCAGCCAUUCUGGAAAUGGAUUCUCCAGCCCCAGCUGCCUUGGCUGUUGCAGUGGAAAUUAGGAGAACCACCCAGUGGUGCCUCUCCUAGUUUUUGACCCCCAAAAUAUUGAGCAAAAUAAAAUAUUUGUUUUCA